AACAGCGCUGUGGAUUGUUUGUCAAUAUCUUCGAGUUAGUUGAUUUUUACUGGCUUUUAUAUGUAAAGCAAUCAUUUUACGAUGACACGAAAGGCCAAAAAAAUAUCCUGACUACAAAUGUGUCAGAGUGUUUAGUGCAUGUGUAUAGAAUACACAGAUAAUACUGUCAAGGAGAACGUCGUAUAUGUGCAAUAAUGCUACUUUUAUAUGCAAGUCAGGAAUUCCAUCUGUUUCAUUAAGGAAAAGAAUGUUUGGAACCCUUGCAUUACAAAGAGUAUCUAUUUAAUCUUUCCUAAUAUAAUUUUUUCAAGUUAUACGUUAUCAUGGAUAUUUAAUAAAAAUACUAGCUUUUCAAGUGAAAAUAUAAAAAUUUAUAAUACAAAAAAAACAGAUAACCCUUGGUAGAAGAAAAGUUCCAUACAUUGGUACUUUUAGUCGAUACAAUUUAAAAAAUGUACAUCAGAAUGAUACAACAAAAAAAUAUAGGUGGUUUAUAUAGCAAAGAUGAAUAUGUCAGACAAUUGUGUAUCUUGUUUAGUUGAUGCACAGAAUAUUGUCUUAGACAAUUGUCGAUUACCUUUAUUGCAUAUCUUUAUUCUUGCUCUUUUGGAGCAAUCUGAUUGUCAUAAAGUAACCAGUGUUCAUAAAAUCAUUUUUAAUGAGGCUGAAAGCACGUAUAGGAAGGCUAACUCUCUUUUGAGAAAGUACAGUGCUCUACAACUGACUUUCAUGAACAAUGAACCAUUCGGGAAGUGGAAAACGUCAGGCGAAGGUUUUGGAAGAAAAUUAUUGGGAUUGCAGUGUCUGCACAUAUAGGAAUACCGCAGAAGCAUUUAAGUGCCACAUGUGUGACGUCCGUAAAGGAACUUCCACGCGGAAACCCCGCAUUAAUCCCCAACUUGUGGCACAACAGGUUGCUCAGCAACAGUAUGCACCACUAUUAAAGCCAGGGAAAAAAGAAGGCGGAAGCGGAGGUAGUACAGCUAGUAGUGGUAAAGAGAAAGACCAUAAAUUGGACAAACCAAGGCGUAAAAAUAGGCAUCCACCCCGUCUCAAAAAUAUAGAUCGCAGUACAGCUCAAACCAAUGAAGUGACAGUAAAUAAUGUUACUGUCGUUAUUACGGAAUAUAAACCCAAAGUGAAAAAAAGUUCAGAUCAGUCUGGUUUAUCUAGCAGUGCUUCUUCUGAAAAUGGAAGUCAACAUGAUUCUAAUCAAGACUCUAGAAGUUUGGAUAUAGGAACUGAUGCUUAGCUCAAUACGCUAUAUCACAUAUGUGUAUGAAUUAAUCUAAUUAAUAUAUUAUAUAAUGUUAUAUAACAUUCAAUGAGGUCAGACGUUUUAUGCUAUCAGUGGAAACAUUGAACUUUUAUGACUUCAAUAUGAAAUAAGAAAUAUGACAUACUAUUGUUUCAUACUAACAUCAAAAUUAUCUGUUUCAUAACAAUGGUCUACUUCAUACCCAGAAGCAUGAACUGAAGUUGUACUUACUGUUAUUUAUUCUAUAGUUUCACAGUAUUCUAAAUUACAAGUUUAAGAUUUAAUUGAAUAUUUUAGAUAAUUUUAUUUGUGCAACUUCGGAUAUUACUUAUUUUACUUAUAUAAUAUUGACUGUGACAAAUGCAUUAUAUGCACCAACAUUGAAAAAUGAAUUUGAUAUAUCCAUUGUUGACAUAACAAUGUCCAUAUGACUUUCAUUGAAUCUAUUAACACCACUGCCAGAAAGCAUCUUGUAAUAUUAUUGUUAAUUAAAAUGUUUUAGUGAACUCAUUUAUGUAUGAGUUAUUUAACUAUUUCAUUUAAUAAUUACUGUGACAGCGAAUUAAGAAACUGGCAUUGGUACGUAUAUACCUUUAUCCCAUUCCAAAUCUAUAAAUUUGAUUUGCUACAAACUUUAUUCUUUCAUGGUAAUUCAUUUCACUGAUGCAAGAAUUUCUAGUUUAUACAUACAAUAGAUUACGCAAUUAAAGUGAGCAACAUAAAAUGAAAUGAAAUAAGUGAUAGACAGUUUUAUAAGGUUUAGAAAAUAUUUAAUUUUGGGACAAAAAAUUCGUUAAUUUUAAUAGCUUAUUAUAAUUUUUAUUAUGCUAAAAUAUAUUAUAAGGGAUUUUUCAUACUUCUUUAUUUUGAAUACUUUAACGACACUAGAGUAUCAAAAUUUGCUACAUCAAUUGUAAUUAAUAUUCCGCUAAUUUACUAAAUAUUACUUUGCAAACUCGUAAAAUCAAGAAAUUUUAAUCGUUACAGCUGGACUUCUUUCUAUUACUGGUAUUAUAAUAGAAUGUAUAAUCUACUAAGCUGACACAUGUUAGUAACUGCCCAAUCACUUGUAACUGUGAUUUAUAAUUCUUAUAUUUAUUUUUACAUAUUUUACGUUAUCAGGCAAUAAAUAGAAUUGCUAAAUUAUAUCGCAGGAAAUUUUAUUAUACUGAAAAAGUAUAACUACAAGGACCACAAGUAACAGGAUUAUUUCAUAAGUGUUUAAAAUUACAAAAUGCCAUACAACCAAUUCUUUUAAAAUUUGUGUAAAAUAUUUGUAUGUCAGUUAGAUUGAAAUAUAAAUCGUAAU